rnacentral:misc_RNA from 1 species
AUAAUUUUGUUCCUUCAAAGCCCAGAAGCAACAAGAAUUGGAAGGGCAAAAAUAUCAACAACAAAGACCAGAGAAGAAUGGAAAAGUCCAUGCCUAAUAUACCCAACAUCUGCAACUCGGCCUUGGCCAUUGCCGGUCCUAGUGGUGCUGGUGGUUACAAGCCCCCUAGCCUGAAUGAUCUCCAAACCCAAAACCGAAUGAAAGCUAGAAAAUACUACCACCCAAAGAAAAAGUUCAACAACCGGUUUGCUCCUUACGCGCCUAGAAACACAACGUCUUUUAUUAUACGUGCAAAAAAA